GGUGUCCGCGGGAGCGGGGCUGCGGCGCGCGUGCUCACUGCCCACCUCUGACGUCUUGGUUCCCGCAG
rnacentral:miRNA from 1 species